AUUCCAGUAGCACCUUAGAGACCAACUAAGUUUGUUCUGGGUAUGAGCUUUCAUGUGCAUGCACACUUCUUCAGAUACACAGAUUUCUGCUUGCACACCAAAGCUUGUAGCCAGAACAAAUUUAGUUGGUUUCUAAGGUGCUACUGGAUU